rnacentral:snoRNA from 1 species
UUCAUAUGAUGACUUGCCAUGCUAAUAUUGAAAAAGCUUUAGGCUUUUGCUGAGUAUAAGAAGUCUAAAUCUGAUGAAC